CUCUCACCCACCCAAUCGCACUCUUUUCCAUCUUUUCUCUGUUACAUUUAACUUCUACCAACAACAACCACCACCCUCUACGGCUUGCAACAUCACGUCGCUUUAGUGCCUCGGUGCAACAGCGCGUGGUCUUAAGAGAGAAAUAACGAAAACAACAGCUAUAGGGUCUGGGUCUAAGGAUCUCUCGUAUCUCCCCUCUUUGUUUGUUGAAUCCUCUGAGCAUCUUUUUUUUUUUUAGAUCUAAACAUAUAUUACAUAUUAUUUUUUGGUUUGGUUUAAUUUCAUGUAUAUGCAUAUGAUUUAUUUACUUAAAUUUUAGAAAUUCAAACAUCUUACAGAUUGUA